GGCUAUUAUAGGUGUGUAUUUUCUUUGGCAUUUCAAACUUGUGGUAGACCUACCACAUAGCUGUCUCCUGGAUUCUGAGACCCACCUAACAGUUCAAGGCGUGACAUCAAGU
rnacentral:lncRNA from 1 species